rnacentral:lncRNA from 10 species
GGAAAGGUGGAGGAGGAGGAAGAGCAAAGGGAAGAGUGAAGAAGAAGAGGAGGAAGAGGAAUGGCAAAGGGAAGAGAGAGAAGAGGGAGAAGGAAGAAGAGGAGGAGAUUAUGCACGACACUUGUUAAAAUUGUGCCUCCACCACCAGUCUCUCAUGAAUGACUCUCCUUGUCAGGGCCCAGAUGGAAGCCAGCUGACAUGCAAGCCUGGGAACUGCAGCCUGCAGAGAUCAACAACCCCACGGAGUCACAGAGCAGAGCAGGUGAAGGAAGAAGAAUGGGUUUGAGGCAAACAGGGCCAGGAUCGGCAGGCCUUGUCCUCCAGGAAGCCUUUCCCACCCCACCUCAGGCUGGAAUAGGGGCCUUCGUAGGCUGAAUGAUGGCCUCCCAAAAAUGUUCACUUCUUAAUCCCUCAACCCUCUGAAUAUUACCUUAUAUGACAAAAGAUGUGACUAAGACGUGUUAAGGAUCUUGAAAAGAGAGACUGAAGCUGGGUUUUCUGGAUGGGCUUCAUAGACAGACACACAGAAGAAAAGGCAAUGUGAAGACAAGACAGAGGCCGGAUGGAGGUGAUGCCACCACAAGCCAAGGAAUGCUGGCAGCUGCUAGAAGCUGGAGGAGACGGGGAACAAAUUCUCUGCUAGAGCCUCCAGAGGAAAGACAGCCCUGUUCACAUCUUGAUUUCAGAAGUCUGGCCUCCAGAACUGCGAAAGAAUACGUGACUGUUAUCUUAAGCUACAAGUCUGUGUAUUGUGCUCCUCCAUCGUAUUCCCAAAACAGCAUCCCUGGCUUCUGUCCCGUGCCCAUUGUCCUUUCAUGCUGAAGCAGCUUAUUGCAUUGUCUUAUCUGUCCUACCAGGCUGACCUCCUUGAG